UGGCCUUGACAUGCAUGUGGUAGAACCAUGAAAGUGGGACGACCCCGCAAGGGGAGCAUGCACAGGUGCUGCAUGGCUGUCGUCAGCUCGUGUCGUGAGAUGUUGGGUUAAGUCCCGCAACGAGCGCAACCCCCGUGUCCUGUUGCCAACCGAACGAGAGUUUGGAGCACUCUGGACAGACUGCCUCGCUCAAACGGGGAGGAAGGUGGGGAUGACGUGGCACGCAAUAACA
rnacentral:misc_RNA from 1 species